rnacentral:rRNA from 1 species
AUUGAACGCUGGCGGCAGGCCUAACACAUGCAAGUCGAACGAGUGGCGGACGGGUGAGUAAUGUCUGGGAAACUGCCCGAUGGAGGGGGAUAAAUACUGGAAACGGUAGCUAAUACCGCAUACCAUCGGAUGUGCCAAGAUGGGAUUAGCUUGUAGGUGAGGUAACGGCUCACCUAGGCGACGAUCCCUAGCUGGUCUGAGAGGAUGACCAGCAACACUGGAACUUGGACACGGUCCAUACUCCGACGGGAGGCAGCAGUGGGGAAGAUUGCACAAGUGGCGCAAGCCUGAUGCAGCCAUGCCGCGUGUAUGAAGAAGGCCUUCGGGUUGUAAAGUCCUUUCAGCGGGGAGGCGUUACCCGCAGAAGAAGCACCGGCUAACUCCGUGCAAGCCGCCGCGGUAAUAC